UACAGAGGUCUCGAGCGUUAAUCGGAGUCACUGGGCUUAAAGGGUGCGUAGGCUGAUCUGUAAGUGCCUUGUGAAAUCCCAUGGCUCAACCAUGGAAUUGCUCGGUAGACUGCAGAUCUUGAGGUCGGUAGGGGUUGCCGGAACUCUAGGUGGAGCGGUGAAAUGCGUAGAUAUCUAGAGGAACGCCGAAGGUGAAGACAGGCAACUGGGCCGAUUCUGACGCUGAGGCACGAAAGCGUGGGGAGCAAACGGG
rnacentral:rRNA from 1 species